AGCGAACGCUGGCGGCAGGCCUAACCCAUGCAAGUCGACCGGAUCCUUCGGGAUUAGUGGCGGACUGGUGAGUAACACGUUGGAACGUGCCCUGUGGUUCGGAACAACUCAGGGAAACUUGAGCUAAUACCGGAUGUGCCCUUCGGGGGAAAGAUUUAUCGCCAUUGGAGCGGCCCGCGUCUGAUUAGCUAGUUGGUGAGGUAAAGGCUCACCAAGGCGACGAUCAGUAGCUGGUCUGAGAGGAUGAUCAGCCACAUUGGGACUGAGACACGGCCCAAACUCCUACGGGAGGCAGCAGUGGGGAAUCUUGCGCAAUGGGCGAAAGCCUGACGCAGCCAUGCCGCGUGAAUGAUGAAGGUCUUAGGAUUGUAAAAUUCUUUCACCGGGGACGAUAAUGACGGUACCCGGAGAAGAAGCCCCGGCUAACUUCGUGCCAGCCGCCGCCGUAA
rnacentral:rRNA from 1 species